AUGCCUUUCUUAUCUCCUUGGAUAUCAUCUCCAUUGCCUAGUACAUGUCCCUCCCCACUUGCAUCUGGAUAUCCCACGCUGGUGGCUGUGCCACCUCCAUGUCCUGGUGAAGGACAGGCUGGCUGGAGCACUUCACAGGGGACGGCUGGGCUGUUGGUGCUGGCCCUUCUCACUUGGCCUGCAGCCUUCUGUACCACACUUGGCAUUGAAAAAUCAUUGCUGCCAUACACAGAGUGAAUGCCUUAUCUGAGUUUUUGACAGGAGGCAUCUAAGACCUUACUGUGGUACAGGAAUUAUAUGUGCUUUAGUCCCAGCUUUUUCGCUCUGAUAGUAUUUUAGCUACAAAACCCAGAUGUACCAGGGCUGCUUCUGUGUUCUAGUGCAUACACAUGUUGCCUUCGGUAGGCUAGUUUGAGUUUUGGUGACUUGUUUUGCUAAGGAGAACUGAUUGUGUAUCAGGAAAAUGCCUGCUAGCAACAACUUUGAGAUCAGUGCUGCACUGUGCUUGACACAGAAGAACAAUCUUUCCUUCUUCAGGGAAGGAGGAAAUAAGCAGGACAACACAGUGGUGGUUUUAUACCAACAUGGCAGUUUCACACUGAAAGAUGGAAAGACUAAAAAAAGAAGACAGAGUUUGAUUUAUUUUAGCUUAAAAAAGCAAAAACUGUGGAAAAUUCCAGAGAUUUGAAGAUUUGAAUCUAACUUGUAAUUCAGUCCUCAGUGGGCAGGAGAGAUGUACGCUUCAGUAAAAUUGCAAGGAAGUGGCUGCCAUUAUCAAGGACCUUUCUGGCUGAAGGAAGACAGUGUCAUACAUCUUUCAUUAACAAGCUGAAUUACCCGUUUUGGUUAUUUGUGUGCAUAAUAGUCAAUUUUAGUAUUCAUCCUUUAAAAAUCUGGAAAUCAUGCAACACACACCCACAAAAGCUGUCUGCAGCCCGCGUGGCCAACAAGUCAGCAAGUCCACCAGAGACAAAUUAAUGGUCUGUGAGUAAAGAUCAAACAAUACUCUGAUUGAUUUGUUACAGGUUCUCUGUCUAUGUUUCAUCUGGCUCAGCAUUUAUUCAAUUUCCAAGACACAAAACGUAUUCUUUAGCAAUAAUUGUCUUCAA
rnacentral:lncRNA from 1 species